UACAGAGGUGGCAAGCGUUGUUCGGAAUUACUGGGCGUAAAGGGCGCGUAGGCGGUCCUCUAAGUCUUGUGUGAAAUCCCUCGGCUCAACUGAGGAACUGCACGGGAUACUGGAAGACUUGAGUUCGGGAGAGGGGAGCGGAAUUCCGGGUGUAGCGGUGAAAUGCGUAGAUAUCCGGAGGAACACCGGUGGCGAAGGCGGCUUCCUGGACCGAUUACUGACGCUGAGGCGCGAAAGCUAGGGGAGCAAACGGG
rnacentral:rRNA from 1 species